AACGAACGCUGGCGGCAGGCCUAACACAUGCAAGUCGAACGCCGUAGCAAUACGGAGUGGCAGACGGGUGCGUAACGCGUGGGAACAUACCCUUUGGUUCGGAAUAACUCAGGGAAACUUGAGCUAAUACCGGAUAAGCCCUUACGGGGAAAGAUUUAUCGCCGAAGGAUUGGCCCGCGUCGUGAUUAGGCUAGUUGGUGAGGUAAUGGCUCACCAAGGCGACGAUCAGUAGCUGGUCNGAGAGGAUGAUCAGCCACACUGGGACUGAGACACGGCCCAGACUCCUACGGGAGGCAGCAGUGGGGAAUAUUGGACAAUGGGCGAAAGCCUGAUCCAGCCAUGCCGCGUGAGUGAUGAAGGCCUUAGGGUUGUAAA
rnacentral:rRNA from 1 species